UUGACUUCCUUUCCUUGAGGGAGGUUGAAAACAUAACCAUUCCUUAUUAUUGCAUUGCAGCCCUAGACGUGAGAGUUCAACUCGAAGAGACUCGAGAAAGAGAGAAAGGAAGAGAGAGAGAGAGGAACGUCCUCAUCUUUGCCCUCUAUCUAGUUGAAGAUUAAAGUUGUUGGCUGCUAAGAGUAAGAGACGUAGAAGUUGGUCGGAUUUGAAAAAGGUACCCUUGAUAGAUUUUUGGCUCUUGGAGUGACGACCUCAGUCUUGUGAUGGACGGGCAUUGACAUUCUGGACACUGCGUUGUUUUUGGGUUUAGUGGUCAUUUUAGUUGUUUGGGUCCAAUUGUUUUAGUUUAAUACAGCGCAUUUGGUCUGACUCAAUGUGCUUCCGCCAUGAUUUAUAUUAAUGAAUUGGAAAAUUUUUUGUGUUGGUGUGAAAA